rfam:Myotis brandtii contig318513, whole genome shotgun sequence.
AGGCCUGGAGAGAGAAGCAGGGUCUUAUCCAUAGCCUCAGUGGCAGCUGUUGAUCAGCUGUUGCCUCUCUCUUCCUCUCCG